rnacentral:sRNA from 1 species
CCCAGUGGAGCCCGACCGGUCUUCCUGCAAGAAGAAGGAAUCAGCACUCUCCACCCGAGACCGGCUGUUGCUAGACAAGAUUAAGAGCUAUUAUGAAAAUGCAGAACACCACGAUGCGGGCUUCAGCGUCCGUCGCCGGGAGAGCCUCUCCUACAUCCCCAAAGGACUGGUAAGAAACUCCGUCUCCAGGAGACUCAGGCAGUGGCCUGGAGAGGCUUUGUUCUGUAAUGGUGCCUUUUCUUAGAGUCCAGGCAGGAAUGAAGCCAAUAAUUUAUUGCUUUCCAUUCUGUGGUAUGAUGUGUGCGUGUGUGCGUGUGUGGCCCCUGUUUAUUCCCCUCCUGUCAAGAGUGAAGUGGAUUCAGUUCAGGUACUUUUGAGGGUUGUUAUGCUGACCCUGUGGUUGUCGCUGAUGUACACACAUUUCAUUAUUUGCCAAUGGUGCAAUAACCACUGCUGACCAAC